UCUCCCUUUGCCUUACCAUCUCCUCUGUGUAUUAAAUAAAUUUGAGCAGCGUAUGUUUGCAUCUUACGAUAAAGUGUACUUGGGAGACGAUGGUAGAGGAGCCAUCAAUGAAAUUGCUGGCAGAUGCAGCUACGAAAUUACUUGUUCUAGUAUUUUCUAUUAUUUGUGAAAUUGGAUAUGAUUGGUAGGCUAUGUAAGAAAAAAAGUUAUAGUAAUUGAGAAAAUGAUCUUGGUUCUUCAAUGGCUCUGUAACUUUAGAGCCACGUCCCUAAUGAUUACAUAUAUAACUGGUAUUGAUCUUGUCAAAUCAGUUGUUAGCCCUUGCUCGCAUAUUUUUGUUUACCUGUAAAUGCAGAGAGAAGUACCUUGCUGACAAAUAUAAUAUUUCAGAGAUAACCAUUUAAAACAAUUUAAAAAACCAAUUUAAAACAGAUAAGGCUGUUAUGUCUUUCCGGAAAAAAAGGCUACUAUGUCUGCAACACAUUAUAUUUGGUCAUUUAAGAGUGUUUGUAUUUGUUCUUAACUUCUACUUCUAGUUAUUAAAAAAAAUAUCUAUAAUAUAUCCUUGUAAACAAUGUUUUUUGCAACCUUGUGGGAUGGACGCUCUUCAUCUGAUAUAAGUAUCCGCAAUCCAUUUCUGUUGGUAACCCUUGACAUUGCAACAUAGAGUUGGCCAUGUGUGAACACUUGCCUUUCUAAGUAGAGUCCAACCUUUUUGAGAGAUUGCCCCUGACUUUUGUUUAUUGUCAUAGCAAAGCACACUGAUAUUGGGUAUUGUCUCCUUUUCAGAAUGAAAGGCCAUUUUGAAUCACUUGGUGACAUAAUAAUUAAUGGGAUGUAAACUUUGUCACCAAUGUUAGCACCUGUUAUGACCUGGCCUUCGAUGAAACGCUUUCCUAGCUGUGUUAUUGUUAGUCUUGUCCCGUUGCAAAGUCCUGCACUUUGAUUGAUGUUCCUCAUAAGCAUUACUGGUAAUACUAUUUUCAACCUCAGUUCAUGAUCGGGUAUUCCAAAAAAUGUUAGACUAUUUAGAAAUUCAGUUGGGUACAACAUAUCUUCGUCUUCCACCAUAGACAUUGCCUUGCAUGUUGUAUCUGAACUGAGAUAGGUUACCUCUUCUCCAGGAAUUUGACUCAUGAUGUAGGUGUUAAUCUGGUCAACAGUCUCGUUCCUUGGGCACAGGAUCGCUCUUUCCUCUAGGACUACCUUCGAAUGAAUUCAGACGCAUAUUUUCUGUGAGUCGGUACUCCUCAAAGUUCUUCCAUAGGAUCAGUCACCUCGCAAAAUAAAAGUAUUGUGCAGAAAAGUUGGUGCAUUUGAGGAGCAAAGGCCAAAUGGGAUGCUUCCUUGAUGCAGUCAUUCCACUCCUUGUCGUCAUUAAGUAGCCCAAGAGCAUAACAUGCAGAUUUGUAUGUUGGAUGUACAACCCCAUCAACUGUUCGGAUAUCUUCAUAGGAUCUGCAUCCUUCCACGGUAUUUAGAAGCAUUCUCAAGUAGUAUUUUUCACCGCUUGUUGGUUGUGCAUAGUAAAUCCUGCCUAUGGUUUUUUUUACCACCACGUCUUUUCCUCCAUUCUUUCUCUUUUGCAUGCCAAGUCCAUUUGGUUGGAAACUGUGCAUACGUCAAACUGUGAGCUUCCUCAUGCAAUUGGUUGGCUGUCAUCCAUUCUGUGAACAUUGUCUUUUCUAUGUUAGGCCGAGAUAUGAUUUUAUCUAAAUCCAUAGAGUCUGGGAAUACCACAACAUGUUCAUUUUCUAGGUGAAAUUGUAACCUUUCAACCGCAGGCUCUCUAUACUGAAGAGGAAACUGAAAUAUGCGCUAUGCGGCUUCACAUCCAGAUAUGUACCGAGCAUCAAUGUAUCUCUUGAUUUCGUCGUCCCUGUUUGUUAAUUUGCCACCUCUUGUUUCUCCUUGUUGCUCUUCUGUUUCUAUUAAUACAGUUGUUCGAUCUUCUUCUUUGUGGAUGUAUUUGAAUAAAUACUUUAUAGACCUUGAUCUAUUGCACCAUUCAACAUUUAUGUGGGCUUGAUACUUGACCAGUAUGUUUCUAUUGUAUGGCACAACAAAUCUAUUGUCUAGCUUCACUCCGUUUUUGUCCACAGUAUUGCCAUCAUCUCGUCUUCUAUUGUCACAACCCUAGUUUAUCCUUUGCUUGUCCUUGCAUGUUCAUCAUGUCUAAAUUCUGAAAAUUUGAAUUGAGGGAAUUUUCAAAGCCUCAGAAACCUUUUAAAAAUAAUCAACAUUUAAUUCCCAUCAAAUGAGUCCAAAGAAAUGUUCCUGUUACUCUGUGAAAAUAUUGGUAAGAGGUAAAAUUCAAACCAAUAUUUUUGGAAUCACAGAAAUAUUUAUUUUGGGCCUUUGACUUAAAUCAAUGACAUAUUUGAGUUGAAUUUAUUUCUGUUAUAUAAGAAAUAAAGUUCAAAUAUCUUUGUAAGUUACCUGUGACAUUGGACUAGUUCCUGAGCUCACAUAACAAUUUACAGAAAGUUCAAAAAAUGAUUUGAUGUUUUAAAUCAAAUCAAAACCAAUUGCAGAAAAUAGAAAACAUUAAUAAAUAGGAAAACCAGAGAGAGAGAGAGA